UUGGAGUCAACCAUGUCAGACAACUCAUCUGUCAGGAGACUCCUUGCCAGCAUCCUCUGAUUCAUCAGAUGCAACAGUGAUUGUUCAGACAAAUGGAGGGAAGAGAACCCAUGCUGAAUGAGAAUCGGCAAAAGAGAUGGUGAAAGAUGCUCUCCAGGCUAAACCGGGUGGACAGAUUAUUUUGGAUGAAUAUGAUAAAAUGAAAACAUUGACGGAUAGCACAAGGAGACAGCUGGUAAACCUUCUUGUGGCCGAUGUGGUUGAAAUUCAUGGGAGGAGCCCACCCGUCUCUGUGCGAAGUAAAUAUGCUUUGGGCGUCAUCUCUAUUUCCCAGCCUCAGAGAUCCAUACUUGGACAAUGGAUCUGAACACUUCUAUGGCGGCACGGUGGUGUAGUGGUUAGCGCUGUCGCCUCACAGCAAGAAG